UACGGGGGGGGCAAGCGUUGUUCGGAAUCAUUGGGCGUAAAGAGCGCGUAGGCGGCCCUGUAAGUCCGCUGUGAAAGUCAAAGGCUCAACCUUUGAAAGCCGAUGGAUACUGUGUGGCUAGAGUACGGAAGAGGCGAGUGGAAUUCCUGGUGUAGCGGUGGAAUGCGCAGAUAUCAGGAGGAACACCAAUAGCGAAGGCAGCUCGCUGGGACGUUACUGACACUGAGGCGCGAAAGCGUGGGGAGCGAACAGG
rnacentral:rRNA from 1 species